rnacentral:rRNA from 1 species
UACGUUAGGUGGCAAGCGUUGUCCGGAAUUAUUGGCGUAAAGCGCGCGCAGGCGGGUCCUUUAAGUCUGAUGUGAAAUCCCCCCGGCUCAACCGGGGAACGGCUGGGUAUACUGGGUGUCUUGGGUCAUCUAGGGGGCUGCCGGAACAAAUGGUGGAGCGGUGAAAUGCGUAGAGAGUGAUGGAGGAACACCAGUGGCGAAGGCGGCUUUCUGGUCUGUAACUGACGCUGAGGCGACGAAAGGCGUGGGGAGCAAACAGG